GGCGAGGUAGCUCAGGUGGUAGAGCAGUGGACUGAAAAUCCGCGUGUCCCCAGUUCAAGUCUGGGCUUCGCCA
rnacentral:tRNA from 1 species